CCUACGGGGGGCAGCAGUGAGGAAUAUUGGUCAAUGGACGAGAGUCUGAACCAGCCAAGUAGCGUGAAGGAUGACUGCCCUAUGGGUUGUAAACUUCUUUUAUAUGGGAAUAAAAUGGUCCACGUGUGGGAUUUUGUAUGUACCAUAUGAAUAAGGAUCGGCUAACUCCGUGCCAGCAGCCGCGGUAAUACGGAGGAUCCGAGCGUUAUCCGGAUUUAUUGGGUUUAAAGGGAGCGUAGGUGGAUUGUUAAGUCAGUUGUGAAAGUUUGCGGCUCAACCGUAAAAUUGCAGUUGAAACUGGCAGUCUUGAGUACAGUAGAGGUGGGCGGAAUUCGUGGUGUAGCGGUGAAAUGCUUAGAUAUCACGAAGAACUCCGAUUGCGAAGGCAGUUCACUGGACUGCAACUGACACUGAGGCUCGAAAGUGUGGGUAUCAAACAGGAUUAGAUACCCCAGUAGUC
rnacentral:rRNA from 1 species